rnacentral:rRNA from 1 species
UACGUAGGGGGCAAGCGUUGUCCGGAUUUAUUGGGCGUAAAGAGCGUGUAGGCGGCCAUGCAGGUCCGUUGUGAAAACUCGAGGCUCAACCUCGAGACGCCGAUGGAAACCAUGUGGCUAGAGUCCGGAAGAGGAGAGUGGAAUUCCUGGUGUAGCGGUGAAAUGCGCAGAUAUCAGGAAGAACACCCGUGGCUAAGGCGGCUCUCUAGUACGGUACUGACGCUGAGACGCGAAAGCGUGGGGAGCGAACAGG